UACUCCCCAAAUCGUCCUGGGCGGUACAUUUUCCCAAGCAAAAUUUUUCCUCAGUGAUUUGUAAGUUGUUUAUUUAUGUUUGGUAACAGGAGAGAGUCCAAGUGCUCAAUAAAGGAGACGCUUUGGGAGAAUAAACCUGUUGCACAUCUUCCUCUAGAGUAUAUUGAUAGUUCAAGACUAAAGGACACACUUUUUUUUCUGGAGGCAGUUUACCUCCUAAUUGGAUACUCAGACAAGAAAACAAUUGUGUUUGGUAAGUUCAAUGACAGGGAGCCUGGGGUGAUCCUGCAGGGUAUCUCAUUAGGGAGGAUUGUAAUGUGCAAACAUGGCUUCAGAAAUUAAAGGUACCAUUAUUAAGAGAAAAUCUUGCCUGCUCCCACUCUAAUUUAUUUUAAUAG